ACAGCAGCCGCCGCGGUAAUACGUAGGUCCCGAGCGUUGUCCGGAUUUAUUGGGCAUAAAGCGAGCGCAGGCGGUUAGAUAGGUCUGAAGUUAAAGGCUGUGGCUUAACCAUAGUACGCUUUGGAAACUGUUUAACUUGAGUGCAGAAGGGGAGAGUGGAAUUCCAUGUGUAGCGGUGAAAUGCGUAGAUAUAUGGAGGAACACCGGUGGCGAAAGCGGCUCUCUGGUCUGUAACUGACGCUGAGGCUCGAAAGCGUGGGGAGCAAACAGGAUUAGAGACCCGUGUAGUCCCUGUCUCUUAUACA
rnacentral:rRNA from 1 species